rnacentral:snoRNA from 1 species
CACACACACAAGCUGACCAGAUCCCUUUCCCCCAUGGGGAUCUGGUUUAAAAACAGCACACUCUUUUGGAGUGAAUUUACCCUUGUUGCCUAUAUAGGUUGCCCUAAAGGACCUUGGAGACAAUU